rnacentral:sRNA from 1 species
AACUAAAAAUUCUCACACACACCGUCACAUAGUUCGGGUGCUCUUAAUCUGCGAUGGGAAGUCCGGAAAAAGAGUUGGAUUAUGGGGUAUGUGGAGGCUUAAC